UGGAUUGAGAGCUUGCUCUCAAGAAGUUAGCGGCGGACGGGUGAGUAACACGUGGGUAACCUGCCCAUAAGACUGGGAUAACUCCGGGAAACCGGGGCUAAUACCGGAUAAUAUUUUGAACUGCAUGGUUCGAAAUUGAAAGGCGGCUUCGGCUGUCACUUAUGGAUGGACCCGCGUCGCAUUAGCUAGUUGGUGAGGUAACGGCUCACCAAGGCAACGAUGCGUAGCCGACCUGAGAGGGUGAUCGGCCACACUGGGACUGAGAACGGCCCCAGACUCCUACGGGAGGCAGCAGUAGGGAAUCUUCCGCAAUGGACGAAAGUCUGACGGAGCAACGCCGCGUGAGUGAUGAAGGCUUUCGGGUCGUAAAACUCUGUUGUUAGGGAAGAACAAGUGCUAGUUGAAUAAGCUGGCACCUUGACGGUACCUAACCAGAAAGCCACGGCUAACUACGUGCCAGCAGCCGCGGUAAUACGUAGGUGGCAAGCGUUAUCCGGAAUUAUUGGGCGUAAAGCGCGCGCAGGUGGUUUCUUAAGUCUGAUGUGAAAGCCCACGGCUCAACCGUGGAGGGUCAUUGGAAACUGGGAGACUUGAGUGCAGAAGAGGAAAGUGGAAUUCCAUGUGUAGCGGUGAAAUGCGUAGAGAUAUGGAGGAACACCAGUGGCGAAGGCGACUUUCUGGUCUGUAACUGACACUGAGGCGCGAAAGCGUGGGGAGCAAACAGGAUAGAUACCCUGGUAGUCCCGCCGUAAAC
rnacentral:rRNA from 1 species